UGAAAACCUUAAGACUAGGCCUCUCCCUGGUCCUCACAAACCCGCCCCCUCUCUCCCAAAUCACAAUUUUCUCGUCUCCUUUCUCACUUCCCUUUCGUUCUUUCUUGAUCACCAAUCCUCCACCUAAAAUCCAACAAAACCAUACAUAGCUAGCAACCUCUCUCCGUCGUUCAAAUCACUACUCUCUCAUUCUCUCUCGAUCUCCUCCUUCCAUCACCAAAUCCCUCACACGAAAAACCUUUCUCUCCAUCCUCUACCACCACAGACACGGUAAUAGCCUCCUCCUCCACAUCAUAGUAGCGGCCUGCAACCCAUUCCAAUGAAACCCACACCAAUAACCCAGAACGAAACCCAACGACGCUCUCAAUCUUUCUAGAGGAUUUAUUGCCAUGAUGAAGAAAUGGCAGUUACUUUUGUGCUUGUGACUCGUCGAUAGAAAAUAUAAACCCAUGCGCAAAUGUAGGAAUUAGUGUAGAUAUAAAUCUACCAGUAAUAGAAACUUGAAAUCA